AGAGUUUGAUCCUGGCUCAGGAUGAACGCUAGCUACAGGCUUAACACAUGCAAGUCGAGGGGAAACGACAUCGAAAGCUUGCUUUUGAUGGGCGUCGACCGGCGCACGGGUGAGUAACGCGUAUCCAACCUGCCCACCACUUGGGGAUAACCCUGCGAAAGUAAGACUAAUACCCAAUGACGUCUCUAGAAGACAUCUGAAGGAGAUUAAAGAUUUAUCGGUGAUGGAUGGGGAUGCGUCUGAUUAGCUUGUUGGCGGGGUAACGGCCCACGAAGGCGACGAUCAGUAGGGGUUCUGAGAGGAAGGUCCCCCANAUUGGAACUGAGACACGGUCCAAACUCCGUACGGGAGGCA
rnacentral:rRNA from 1 species